UAGGGAGACCUAACUUCGGUUGAGCUAACCCCAAUUUACAAGCCAACUGAGGUCAUCCCAGGUCGUGCGAGGAAUUGAGUAAUUACUAGGCUUUCAUACUUUCGGUUCGGACUAUAGGGCUAUUAGCUCAAGUGGUUAUAGCGCACCCCUGAUAAGGGUGAGGUCCCUGGUUCAAGUCCAGGAUAGCCCACCUCUCUGUUAUCUGAGUGAUGGGGGUAUAGCUCAGUUGGUAGAGCGCUGCCUUUGCACGGCAGAAGUCAGCGGUUCGAGUCCGCUUACCUCCACUCUCUAUUGUUCAAAUAUAGAGACUAACACAAGCAAUUUAGAACGCUAUAUCUAAAGUGCAGCACCUAAAAUUCCAAGAAAAAAGGGUUUAGGAUGCUGGACGAAAGUUCAGUCAGAACCUGGAAAACUGCAUAGAGAAUCAGGCAAAAGGUAAGACCGUAACACUUUUCAAAUGAGA
rnacentral:tRNA from 1 species